CGGUAAGGUAACCUCGCAUUUUUAAAGCUGUGAGUGGAAUCGUGGAUGUGAUGUGAUCGUCUAUUUUUGUUAUCUGUAUCCGUUGAAUGAUUGAAAGGUGCAGUGUGGAACAUCAAGUCUACUUCCAGUGCCCCAAAUGAAGAAAUCCAUAUAAUAAUCCAAAAUUGGUUUUGAUUCUCCAAAGACCAUGAUGGAGGUCGAGAAAAACGGAGAAAUGAUCCAGCAACCAAUCACAUGUAACUAGGCCAAGUGCCAAUAAGUAAUUUUUAGAGAAUCUCAAACAUCCAUAAUCUUUUUUGUAAUAAUUUUACAAUAUACAAACUUUUCAUGCA
rnacentral:lncRNA from 1 species